rnacentral:lncRNA from 1 species
GUGUCUACCGGUUCAACCAAAAAUCUAGGUCGGAUAUGAAAACAGUUCCUAAACUCAAACAUUUAGAAUAAAAACAAAUGAUAAAAACCUAAACACUCAAUUGUUAUGAUUUGAAACAAAUAUAAUGGUAUUUGUAAAUCAGUUUUCUAUCAAUAAAUAAAAAUAUAAAUUCGCGCUUUCUAAUCGUGGACCAAAAUCUAGUUAACAUAUUAAAACAGAAAAAAAAAAGAUUUCCCUUUAAUGAAUUGAAACCCAUCCAAACCAAAACACAAACUUUAAUUUUCCAUAGAAGGUGUAGGGUUCAGACGAUUUAUGGUGAUUGUCAACGAGCCUCAGUUUCCCUGGAAAGAUUAGAAAACUCUACCUCCCACGAGCUUUGAUUUCGCCGUUCCUCUCACUAUCAUAGCUCUACUUCAUUCUUAAAGAAUCAUAGCAUAACCUUGGUUUUUGUAAGUUUGACUUAUAGAAUACUUCUUCCUUUGAUGUGUACUUGUAGUAAAUUUAUAGGGUUUUAAAACCGGAGAUUAAUUCUGUGCGUCAAGAAGACAUACAAAGCAUCUUCAUGAGUUUAAACCUUGCUCACGUUCUUACCUACAAAAGCAGAAGACAUCUUAUAUAUUAAAAUACAAGUCACAACUUUGAUUCAUGUAUGAUUUUUUUAAAAAAAAAAUUGACCUAAUAAACAUAUUCCUAGAAAGUCAUGUUACAUUUAAUAUUUAAUUUUAUCAUUUAAAUUUUAGGCCUACAAAAAUUUUUUAUUAGGCUAUCAAUCAUUAUAUUUAAACAAUAUAUGAUCUAUUUGAUUUAUAGAUAGUAUAAAUUAAAUAGAUAUAUUUUAAUGUUGUAAUACUAUACCUCUAUAUGUUAAAUAUUUAAAUAUUUAUCGAUGUUAACUUUUAAAAUUAUAAAGAUUUUUUUUAAAUAAUAAAAAUCAUAUUAUCUAACAAUGAUUAAUCUUUACUAGCUUAAACCAAUGAAUAUUGUUUUUUUAAACUAUAUAGUUUAUUCUAAAAAUUAAACAAAAACUGAAUGUUUAAUUAUUUACUUGAUAAUAUAAAUAUAUGAAGUGAAAAGUUUAAUUUUAAAAAAAAAAAUUUAAAUUUGUGAAAUGUUACAAUAUCUUUGAAUAUGACAACAAAACAAUAUUUUACUAAUCUUCAUAUAUAUAGUUAUGAUUUUAAUAAUGAAAUAAUAAUCCAAAAAUAUAUAUAGAAGAAUAUACAAAUACAUGUGAAAGUUUGAAACAAUCUAUUCAAUAAAAAAUAUAAAGUAAAUUUAUUAUGUUUUAAAAAUUGAUAGACACAUAUAUAUUAUAAUAUAUAUCAAUUUAUAAUUGAAAACAAAAUAUUUAUAUAAAAAUAAAUAAAAACAAAAAUCUUCGCGGUUGCGCGGGUCGAGAUCUAGUUAUUCUUAAAUGUGCUGAAUGAAAAUGAAAGACAAAUUCCUUCUCAGCCAAUCUUAAUACGUAUAUGUCAUUGUUAGGGCCAAAACCAUAACCAAAUUUGUUGUUUCCUUUAUCAACAAUUACCAAGAAAAUUAAAUUCAAUAAGUUGUUGACCACUAAGGAAGAUCGAAUUGUGUACUUAUCGGGCAUGUAAACUUACAUUUUGAUAAAAGAUUCAUUUAUGACUAUAAUUUGAGGCUGACAAAACAACUAGAUGUCAGGCGAAAUUUUAAUAGAAUUAACGAUAAAGAAACUUUAAAAAAUUGGAAGAAGGACGUCAAAAAAAAAAAAAAUUGGAAGAAGAAUUUAUCAUCCACAUGACUACGAUUGGUUGGACUAUAUAUACCUCUAAACUUAGUCUUAAAAUUUGUGUUGCAGGUAAGUUAAUGAAACUGUAAAUUUUUUGUCAUAGUUUUUUUCUAGAGCGGUUUUUAAUAAUUUGGCUGUAGAUAUUUUGAAAUACAAAUAAAGUAUAUAUGAUGCUAAAAUAAAAUAAUUAUAUUUAUUAUUUAAAUAUUUUAUAUGAAGUAAAAUUAUUAUUUACCAAAUAUUAUUAUUAUUUAAUGUAAUAUAUAAAACAUUAAUGUUAUUGAAAUAACUUAAUAGUUUAUAGAAUUACUAAAAUAUACUCCCUCCGUUUCAUAAUAGAUGAUGUUUUAGAAGAUUUUUGUUGUUUCAAAAUAGAUGAUGUUUUGAUAUUUUUAUGUUAUUUUUAACUUUAUUGAAAACUGUGUAACCAAUUAGAUGUUAUAGUCAUUUCUGUAAUUGGUUAAAUGAUUUUUAAAUUAUAUUUUUAAAACUACUUUUAAGAGAAAAGUAAAUUUCUUAAUCUUUGUAUACUAAGGAAUAACAUCAUCUAUUAUGAAACGGAAGGAGUAUAAAAUAAUCUAUAAAUUUUAAAUUAUAACAAAAAUCAAUAUCAAAAUAGUAAUAAAAUAGUAAUAUUUAAUAUUAUGGCCUAAGAUAAUAGAAAUGCUGGAUUGUGCCUAUUAUACAAAGAAACAAAUUAUUAUUAUUUUAGCUUUAUGAAAAAAAAGAAGUUACAUCAUAAUUAGGAAAAUUUGGUAGAAUUUGUAUGAAGUUUUUAACUUUUAAAAUUCAAACUGCAUCAUAAUGAUUAGAUUCGUUGAUUUAAAUAUAAAUAAAGCUAAAGAAGUUAGAUGAAUUCCAACCAAUCAUUGACAGUAUUCCAUAAGCCAGAAAUACAUUAUUUGGUAUAAAUAAAAUUAUUUUUACAUUUGGCUGAUAAAUUAAAUUAUUUAUUAUGGUUUUCUAUAACCAUUUUUAUGUAAUGACAUAAGUAAAAUUUUGACCAACAAAUAAAUAAAUCUACAAAUAUCUAAUUAAAUUUAUGGCUAAAGAGUAAACUUAUCUAUCAGAUCAUAUAUAAACAUGUCUAAAUUAAAUAGGUAUGUGGAAAAAAACUUGAUCCCUAAUUAAAUUUGUUAAAAUUAAUUAAAUUUGUAGACAAAGUAAAAAUAAAUCUAUCUAACACUGUUUUGAUAAAAAGUGAUUGAAGGGUUUAUUAGAUAUGAAAAUCAUAUAUGCGUAAGUAAAAUAAAAUUUGAGUUAAUCUAGUAGUUUUUUAUUUAAAUACGUAUAAAUUUGUAACCUCCAAAUUUAAAAACGUAUAAAUUUUUUAUAUAAUAUGGAUUCAUAAAUUUGUAGCAUAAUUAAAUAAAACAUUCCACAACACUCUAGAUAAAAGCGAUAAUUAGGAGUUCUAUAAAUAAAUCCAAUAAUAAUUAGUCAUAUAUACCCCUUUUUUUUGUGUGCACCAUAUACCUCUUCAAGUAUUCUUUUUCUGAAAUUUCAUUAAUACUCCUAUCGUAUUAGUGUUCUCGUCCCUACAUUUCAAUCUCCUAACUAUCGUCUAUCUCUUUUUCAUCCAAGCAUCACUUAAUUUAAACUCUAUAAUCUUCAUCCAACUCACCGUGUCUCUUCACCUCUUCCACUAUUCGCCAAAAAUAUUUUUUACUUUGAUUCCAUCGACACCAUAAUCAUAGUCUCACCAUCUCCCAAAAAUACAACCACUUUCAAUUUUGAAUCACAAUCCACCUUCAAUUUCAAAUUUUAAAAUCAAUUAUGCGUGGUGGUAUUGUUCCGACGUGGUGGGGUGACUUGUCGGCCUUGGUGAGUUUGUCAACAUCACUCAUACGGUGGUUGAAUAAGUGUUUGUGAAGCUGUUUGUUGGUUUAGAUAACAUAUAUGUUAGUCAGUAUUUAUUAGUGACCCGAUAUAAUUUACUCCAUCCGUUCCUAAAAGAUGUAUGUUUUGAAAAAAAAAAUUGUUUCAAAAAGAUAUAAAAGUGUUUAUUGAAUUUCUAUU